AUCGCUUCUCGGCCUUAUGGCUAAGAUCAAAGUGUAGUAUCAAAGUGGCUUUCCUUCACUAUUUUCUACAAACAGAUAAUCAGAGCAGCCGUUAGAAAUAUCUUUA
rnacentral:snRNA from 12 species